rnacentral:rRNA from 1 species
ACUCCUGCGGGAGGCAGCAGUGGGGAAUAUUGGACAAUGGGCGCAAGCCUGAUCCAGCCAUGCCGCGUGAGUGAUGAAGGCCCUAGGGUUGUAAAGCUCUUUUGUGCGGGAAGAUAAUGACGGUACCGCAAGAAUAAGCCCCGGCUAACUUCGUGCCAGCAGCCGCGGUAAUACGAAGGGGGCUAGCGUUGCUCGGAAUCACUGGGCGUAAAGGGUGCGUAGGCGGGUCUUUAAGUCAGGGGUGAAAUCCUGGAGCUCAACUCCAGAACUGCCUUUGAUACUGAAGAUCUUGAGUUCGGGAGAGGUGAGUGGAACUGCGAGUGUAGAGGUGAAAUUCGUAGAUAUGCGCAAGAACACCAGUGGCGAAGGCGGCUCACUGGCCCGAUACUGACGCUGAGGCACGAAAGCGUGGGGAGCAAACAGGAUUAGAUACCCGAGUAGUCCC